rnacentral:rRNA from 1 species
GAUGAACGCUGGCGGCGUGCCUAAUACAUGCAAGUCGAGCGAAGCGGGGACGGGUGAGUAAAACGUGGAUAACCUCCUAUAAGACUGGGAUAACUUAGGGAAACCGGAGCUAAACCGGAAACGUAUAGGUUGAUCCGCGCUGCAUUAGCUAGUUGGUAAGGUAACGGCUUACAAAGGCAACGCUGCAUAGCCGACCUGAGAGGGUGAUCGGCCACACUGGAACUGAGACACGGUCCAGACUCCUACGGGAGGCAGCAGUGGGGAAUCUUCGGCAAUGGGCGAAAGCCUGACGGAGCAACGCCGCGUGAGUGAUGAAGGUCUUCGGAUUGUAAAACUCUGUUAUUAGGGAAGCGGUACCUAAUCAGAAAGCCACGGCUAACUACGUGCCAGCAGCCGCGGUAAUUC